rnacentral:tRNA from 1 species
GCCUGGGGGGCUCAGUCAGUUAAGCAUCUGACUUCAGCUCAGGUCAUGAUCUCACAGUUUGUGGGUUCGAGCCCCACGUCAGGCU